GGGUUACUCCAGAGGGCUUUCCUGCCAUCUGCCGCUUAGAUCUCUUGUCUGCUGUCCUGGGAGGCGAGGCAGGAUCUGGAAAGCCCCGGGUGCUUGAGUUGAUGAAACUACUCCCUCUCGGCACCCUGCCUCGGACCUGUCCCUCCUUCAGAGUAAAAUUAAACCAGAAACCCCAGCCUACGAAACCACAGCCAGCAAAUCUGAAUGGGCCGGGAGUCUAACAUCUCUCGGGUUUGCGUAACUAAACCUGUCACUUUGUCCUGGCCCUAACUCCUGAGAGAGUCUUCUGUAUUCAGUACUUGCACUCAGUCUUGGAAGCAUAUUGGGGAACACACACACACACACACACACACACACACACACACAGAGUGCUCAAGCAGGGGCGAGUCUCCUGAGCAGAGUCCUCCAACAGACAAGGUCUGAAGGUGUACUCCGGGAGUAGAUGUGGACGUGACCUUUCCGUAGCAGAAGUUAUCAGAAACCCGGAGACACGGUUGGGAAUCGUCCUUGUUCUCAUUCCAGCAUCUGACUGUGUUCCCCCCCCCCAAAAAAAAACACCCCAUUCCCACACCGUACUGUGCGAGUUCUGCCUUCGCUCACACGGGGACUUUUCAGGUUUCAUCUGGGGGGCCCCUGAACCUGAUUCUGACUGCUGGGCAACAGCUGGGAGGUGAUGUCAGAAACCUCAGGGGUCUACAGAAACCUUGGUGAUAAGUGCCUUUCUUUCUCUUCUUCCUCUCCCGCAUGGCCUCCCUCUCUACCAGCACUGGAAAGUCCUGUUUGAAAAGGUAUGUGAGCAGUUAAAUACCUUUCUUCUUCCCAGCCCUGCCUGAAACCGGUCUCAGUCUUCCUGCUUGACUGCGUGGGCUUUCCUAGCUCAGUGCUCCGGAGAUGGUGACGUGCUAUGGAGGCGUGGCUUAAUACAUCUAGGGCGGAGCCACACGGUGCUCUGGGUAUCCGGAGACAGCAGUAGGCUCCCUAGAGAGAAAUCGUUCAUCCCUACAAAUUCUUCUUGCACCAUGGCUGGGCUUACGCCACCCAGAGAUUGGACAACUUGUAUUAAAGUUUUCGCUAUGCAAGAGGAGAGGAUUGCAGUGGGAGGCUGGGGGGAGGUGGGGGAAGGGGCAUAAAAGAAUCAUUUGGCUCCUUUUCUGCUCCUAUUAUAAAAAAUGCUUUGCCCCAGU
rnacentral:lncRNA from 1 species